rnacentral:lncRNA from 1 species
UGGAAGACUUAUGGGAAAGGAGGAGAAUAGUCUAGUUGGGUUGACCCUAACAUUCCAGCCUUCUAACAGAUAAUAGAAAAGCAGUGUUGUUCUCAUCAGUCUGCUUUAAGCUGAGAAGGGGCAGUGGUUAGUGGGAGAGGCUGUAAGGUAGGGGUUGGUUUUGGUUCUGGUUUAAAAAUUGUCGGUCUUCUUGGAGUAACAUCAUGUCCUGUAUGGUUCUCUGGGUGAAGGCUCGGAUGCGAUUUUGUAAAAACUGAGUGAAUAGGCGCAAGAGGCAGAGCCCAAAGGCCAGGAGAAGGAGGAUAGUUAUAGCAGGGCCAAGGAGGGGAAGUAGCCAGGUGGCCCAAGAACUGAGACACCAAGGGGACCAAGGGGGCCAAGAGGGCCAGGCAGAGGAGCUGUUUUAUUUUCUGAGCUUGGUCUUUGAGCUUCUUGACUGCAUCUUGUACCAAACCUGAUUGGUUGAGAUAAAAACAGCACUGCUCAUCUAAGAAAAUGCAGAGACCUCCUUUUUCAGGGGUGGAGAGUAGAAGAGAGGAUAAUAUAAAGAUCACGCCAAGUGAGUUUGUAAGAUUGGGUAAGGUAUUUGAACUCCUUAAUAUAAGUGUCGGGAUCAGAGAAAAAGGACUCCAGAUGUUUUUCAAUUUGGAAAUGGUCAGAGAGGGAGAAGGGAACAUGGAAAUGCAAAUGAUCCCUUCAGUCCCAGCCACCUCUCAAAGGAUUGCUCUCAUGGAUCUUCAGCCAAGGCUAGAAAUCAAACCAUUCUAGGAUUCACCUGGAAGUGCUGGGAAAAUUGUACUGAAUUUGCUAUUCCAGGGAUAGCUCUGUCUUAGUCUGUUCUCACGCUGCUACUAAAGACAUACUUUCCUUAUAAAGGAAAGAGGUUUAAUUAACUCACAGUUCCACAUGGCUGUGAGGCCUCACAACCAUGGCAGAAAGCAAAGAAGGAACAAAGUCAUGGCGGCAGGCAAGAGAGCUUGUGCAGGGGAACUUCCCUUUGUAAAACCAUAAGAUCUCCUGAGACUUAUUCACUACCAUGAGAACAGUAUGGGGGAAACUGUCCCCAUGAUUCAAUCAUCUCUACCUGUCUGCACCCUUGACACAUGGGGAUUACUACAAUUCAAGGUGAGAUUUGGGUGGGGACACAGUAAAACCAUAUCAGCUCUUUACUCAUUCCAUGACUAUCUAUUAUAGUUAUCAUUUGUAAGCAGUAUCAGAGACACUAGGUAUUCAGUGACAACAGAAAAGAAAUCUUUGUGACCUCAUUGAGAUAAUCUUUUUAACAUGGAAAAGAAUGUAAAGUUGCAAACAAUUGAAUUGCAAAGGAAUUUUUCAGAUUUUGCUGGGAAGAUUUUUGGCUUAGUAUAUCUGAAAAUACCCACAUUUUCAAUUUAUUUUAAGAUAUAAAAUUUGUAGGUACUACUUUUGUGAUAUUUGACGCCAGAUACUUCCUUAUGGCAAGAUCUUUUCCUCUGUACCCCUAGUCCUUUGCUAAAGAGGGGAAUACAAGUUUCUGUAUUACCAGCCUAUAGUACUUGCGGGCCAAUGAGAAGUAAAAUGCAUUAAGUAGUUUAUAAUCCUGCAGUACCCCUUAAGGUUUCUUUCUUCUAUUAUAAUAUUAUGACACAAAUGUCUGGUAGUAAAUAGAUGUGCAAAUAUAGUGAAAUUAUUCUUGUUCUCUAAACUAUCUUAUAAUAAUUAUAUUUACAUAUCUUGUUCUUUCUGUGUUGGUCAGAUAGUUGAAAUGCAUAGUUGUUCUGAAAAAGGGCCUAUAAAUUAGGGAACUUUGAACAAAGAUGACAUCAGUAUUUUUUUUUAUAUGAUAGCAAUUUUAGUGGUUCAUUUCUGAAGAACUUAAUUUGUUUAGCUUAAAAACACAAGAUACUUCACUUAAAAUAUUUGUGAAAAUUAAGAGCAUCAUUAAAAUAAGCAUACUCUGUUGUUUUUGUAAAUAUCAAACAUAAAUAUGAAACAUGGCAGCUCUAUUUAUAAUUACAAAACUUGGAAGCAACCAUAUUGUUUUUCAAUAGGUGAGUGGAUAAACAAACUUUGAUAAAUCAUACAAUAUAAUAUUAUUUAGUGAUAAAAAGAAAUGAACCAAUAAACCACAAAAAGACAUGGAAGAAAAUUAAAUGUAUAUUACAAGGUGAAAGAAAUUAGUCUAAAAAGGCUAAGUACAGUAUGAUUCUCAAAUAUAUGACAUUAUGGUAAAUGCAAAAGAUAGUAAAAAGAUCAGACGUUUCCAGGGGCUUUGUGAAGAGGGUAUGAAAGGUGAGAGAUGGAACCCUGAGCAUUUUCAGGGCAAUAAAACUAUUCUAUAUGAUGCUGUACAGAUGGAUUUAUAACAUUAUACAUUUGUCACAGCUGUAGAAUGUACAACUUAAGAGUGAACACUAAUAUAAACUAUGGAUUUUCCUUGAUAAACUUGUAAUAAUACUGGCUCCUGAAGUGCAAAAAAUGUACCAUACUAAUGCAAGAUCUUGAUAAUAGGGGAAACUCUGUAUAUGUGUGCAUAUGUAUGUGCAUUGGGAGGAGAAUGUAUAUGGAAACUGUAACCUUUGCUCAGUUUUUUUUGAAACUUAAAACUAGUUUAAAAGAAU